UUGUACCUACGGGAGGCAGCAGUAGGGAAUCUUCCACAAUGGGCGAAAGCCUGAUGGAGCAACGCCGCGUGGGUGAAGAAGGUCUUCGGAUCGUAAAACCCUGUUGUUAGAGAAGAAAGUGCGUGAGAGUAACUGUUCACAUUUCGACGGUAUCUAACCAGAAAGCCACGGCUAACUACGUGCCAGCAGCCGCGGUAAUACGUAGGUGGCAAGCGUUAUCCGGAUUUAUUGGGCGUAAAGGGAACGCAGGCGGUCUUUUAAGUCUGAUGUGAAAGCCUUAGGCUUAGCCGGAGU
rnacentral:rRNA from 1 species